rnacentral:lncRNA from 1 species
AGAAAUGCUGUAGCAUAAUAAAGGGAGCAGAUGAAUGACUGAAGCCCUACAGCUCCACUAAAGAUUAGAGUAAAAUCUGCACUUCAAAAGAUCCUGUAUUCUUGCAAGAGAACAGAGCUCCUGAUCACCUGUGUGCGUCCUUUGAGUGGAUGGCAGCUGCAUCUCUGCAUUACAGCUAGUUAGAAUGAUGAGUCCUUGCUAUGCCUCAAGCACUGUUUCGAGUGUUUGAUGUCUAUUAUCUCACUUCAUCCUCACCAGGACCCCAUCCGAGGAUUUGCGACUUGAGUAGCAUUGACGGUGGUGAUGGGGAGCCUGGCAAGACAGCAGAUGUCUACAGCAAGAGGAGGGAAUGGGAAGCUGCUCUGAUGGCGUAAUCAUCAAGGUUGCUGAUAAAAUGGCCUUAAUUUCAGUUGACAGUAACUAUUGGAUCCCCAGGAAUAUGUUUGCAUAUUUGGGGAGAAAAUACUAUUGGAGGGGAACAGAAAUGCUACUAAGGGUCUCACUGUGUCACCCAGGCUGGAGUCCAUCAAAGCUCACUGCAGCCUUAACCUUCUGUGCUCAAGGGAUCCUCCCACUUAAGCCUCCUGAGUAGCUGGAACUACAGGCAUAUGCCACCGAGCCUGGCUAAUCUUUGAUUUUUUUGUACAGAUUGUGUCUCCUUAUGUUGCUCAGGCUGGACUCAAACUUCUGGUCUCAAGCGAUCUUUCCAUCUUAGCUUCCCAAAUUGUUGGAAUUAUGGACAUGAGCCAGUGUGCUUGGCCUGAUUUUUUUUUUUUUUUAAUGAGAAAAACGUUCCUUAAGAAAAGUUUCAUUGUAGUAAGUAAUCAGGAUGAAUAGCAUAUAUUAGCUCCGAAAAACUUUGGAAGCCUUCUUACUUCACUGAAAGUGGGGUUUAUCAACUCAGCUGCCAACGGCUUUCCUCCCAUUUAGCCUUUGUGUGAAAAACACAAUUAAUACUUUCUUGAGUAGUACAAGCUGAGCCGAGAAACCAUCUUUCAGAGGUGUAAAUUCUUGCCUUGGGUGGAAGGCUGGAUGUUAUUAACUUUCACAAUUUCUUUCAACACUUGAUUUUCCUCAAUCAUGGUAAAGACAUAUUAUUUAUUUUUCUUUUUAGUUGGGAAAGUUGAUUCACGUGACUUUUGCAUUUUGUAGAAUUUUUAAGAGGUAAGAUGAAAAUUAAACAUUUGUGCGUGUUAAGGAUCCAUGUUUCUCUGUCAGAUGUCUGGUAAUUUGCUUGACGAUUUUUGCAAAGAUAAUUUAGAAAUUAAGGAAACCAUUCUCUACGUUUUUCUUUACAUUAAAAGAAAAAAGUCUCCAAUAAAAAAUUUCUCUAUCCACAUUACAGGUUAAUUUACAAUUUCAGCUGCUGGUGGCUGGCUUGAGGCCUCAAUGUUAAAAAUGAGAAUGAGGCUAAUUCUAGUGAAUAGAGGUCCACACAGACAAUUGCUAUCUUUGUUAGAUGCUCCAGUACCAAGCCUAAGAAUAGGAAAAAAACUAAAAACACCCUGGAAAUGUAACAGAAUCAUCUUUUGCUGCCAUCUUUCUCUUCAGUAUAAGCUGAGCAUGUGUUUGAUGCAUAGCGGUGUGGGAACUAUAUACUUUCUUCUUACUUUCCUUCAGUAAAGGAGCUUAGCUCCAUUAAGCAUUGUUCAAGAUAGUGUAUUUAAAAUUAACAUAAAAGGUAAAAGAUUUUAAUGCCUUUUAAUAUAAGGAAAAUUGAUUUUAUUAAAAUGCUUUAAGAAAAAAAAAAAAAAAA